ACAAAAUGAAUACCCCAUAUUCGUACCUUAGAAUUAACAAACACUAGGGAUGGAGAGGGGGGUUCAGUAAUUAAGAGCAGUGGCUUCCUAUCCAGAGGACCCAAAUUUGGUUCCCAGGAAUCAUAUCGUGGCUAAUAAGCAACUCUUACUCCAUUUCCAGGAGAUCUAGCCUCUAUUUGCACUGUAUGCACACAGGGCACAGACAUACCUGCAGGAAAAACACAUACUCAUGUGCCUAAAAUAAAAGUAAAAUCUCGAAAACAACUUAAAAACAUGAACUUUUUAUUUUGUUGCAAUUUUUAUAAAUAAAUUAUUUUCAUAAUCUUUACACAAAGACUCACUGAUUCCACAUAAUUCAUUCAAACCAAAACCAUUUGCAAAAUAUGCAGCAUACAAAAUUAACAUCUUUAAUUGAAUUCUUUCUUGUAAACCAUUAAGCAAAGAAAACCACAACAGUUAAAGAUGAGCAAAAGAUAAUAAAUAAGAAUAUCAUUUUGCUGUAAAAUCAAGUGUAAGUUAAUAUAAUGUAAUUAUCAGGUUUUGUCUACUAAAUCAGCUAGGCUUUACUAAUUAUAUAGCAUCUAAUGUUGGCAAAGACAGUGAGACAAAUAUUCAUACUCAUUGCGGGUAUGUUAAAAUUCAUAAACCAUCCAUUUGUGUGAAGACAAGUUAGUGACACAUAUAAAAGCCUUGACAUGUUCAUAAUACUUUAUCUGAUAACUAACUGCAUCUUAAGGGUGUGUUUCAGUGAAUUAGCCAGAGUUCUCUACAGUUAUUUAUCAAUUUAUUAUAAAGUCAGAAUUUUUAAAAUAGAACUAAGUAUUUAGAAAUUGACUGAUGAAACAAGACUGCUCUUCCAUUAUAAUAAAAUAUUCAGUUAAUAAGAUUAUAUGAAAAUGCUAUAUGAAGUUAUAUGUCUGUGGUGUGUGUAUGUGUAUGUAUGUGCGAAUCUAACUUUAAGGUUUUAUCCAUCUUUUCAUUAUGAGGAAUUAGGGUAUGAAUGCGGUCCUUGAAAAGAAAUCAAUAGGAACCAUGUCCAUAGAACAAAAUCCAGAAGCAAACUUACUAAUACUGAUAUAUUUUCUUUUUUAAAUGUUUAAUUACCACUUGUUUGUUUGGGGGUGGGGCUCAUGCAUGCCACAAGCAAAGAGGAACUGUCAUCUCCCACGAGGCUUACAGACUUCAAUAUUGAGAGCCACUCUAAUCCUCAAACUAAGGCACCGCUUUGGAUUGAUAGCUGCACAGUCUGAGGGUUCCGUCGCACACCUGUUGUGCAGAUCUUUCCGGACUUUGCAAAUUCACUUUGCUGAAUGAACUCAGAUUGGAAACAGUUGCUGCAAGCCAGUUUUUCUUUUUUAUCCUCCCCCAACCCGUGAAAGCCUAAGUGUAAAAUAUAUAUAUAACUUUA